UAGGAGGCAUUGCAACCGGCGCCCUGGUCUCUGCUGCUACCAACAACAAAGGGAACAAGAUCGCCCAGGACGCCAUCACCGGAGGCGCCAUCGCGACCGCCGUCGAGUUCAUCAACUACCUCACCUAGCCGUGAGGCCAUCGAUAUUCGCAGCGAUGUUUUUAUCGGACAAGACUGAAUAAGAACUUCUUGACUGAAGCCAUCCACCCUCUGUGUUAAUAAUUGGAGCCGUUUCCUCCAAUGUUCUUCCCUUUUUUUUUUUUGUUGCCUGCGUUCUCAUGUCCGUCCAUGUUCUGAACAAUUUAUUUAUUUUCCUGCGUGGUCUGAAUCCUUCAGUUAUGAUAUGCUGUGUGCUGGCCUAGUUUGGUACCAUAUAGUUUACUCAAAGCCCUCACUAACCGCAUCAUGGCUCGGUCACUGCCUUCACUAACUACAUCGUGAUGCGGUCACUGGUAUCUUAUUGAGUAAGUUUAACAUUCCAUCGGGUCAUUCAAGGACUCCGAGGCCCAAUGGAUAAGGCGCUGGUCUACGAAACCAGAGAUUCUGGGUUCGAUCCCCAGCGGAGUCGCUUGUCUUUUGUACUCCUCCAUCCUUCCUAGGUAGUGCUGUUAUUUUUGUUUAGAAAUGUUUAUGUCCUCAUUACUGUAGAUAUUAUGGACAGCCCGAAACUUGAUAAAUGACAAUGCUAAACUUUGCAACUUAUUUAACUCUAAAAUGUAAACUAACAAUUACCUCUGUUACGAGGUCAAAGUAUAUACAUUCGACCUUUGUUUAGUACUUACAUCACAUAUUAGAUUUGACCUAAGUUAAACUUCAUAAAGUUUGACCAAGAUUAUCGAAACCAAUCUAAACUUUCGCAAUAACAAGUAUGUAUGAUGUAAAAAUAUAUUCAAUGGUAUUUACUUGGAUUGUGAAUGUUAAUAAAUUUUGUUUAUGUAAAUUUGGUCAAAGUUUACGAAGUUUGACUUGAAGCAAAGCUUGUGCAUCCACCACCAUGCUCUACUCCUCAAGAUCCUUUUUCCUAUCUAUUGAAGAUGCAAAGAGAGAUGCUUCUUCCUCUUUAAGUUGGAAGUGCAAGAAAAAAUGCGCUAAAUAGGAGUUCCAUCUACCACGCACUCGCCCCACACUCCAGCUAACUUCAGCAUCCAUACUUAGCUAGGAGGAAGGUGUCGGGGACACUAUGAACACACAUGUACUUGGUUGACUUCACGUCCCGUCUCACAACCGGGUAAGAUCAAAUGAACAAACAGCUUGCUUGCCCAGUCCCUAUUGAGAGGAUUUCUUGAGCUUGAACUUCCUUUUGUAACUCCGCUCACAAGGACUUCUUUUCAUCCACAAUGAAGCUUAUACCACUACUUGGUCAGUAAGGCCUGAUUCAAAAAAAAGAUCAAUCACCCCCUUCCCUACUUCAAUGGAAAAGGGGGAAUCGCCCAUUCACAGCCGCCCCUCCACAAAAUUUAUACCUAUCCUUUCGCCUAAGAUGAUCACGAACGAAGACAGAGAAUUGCGUAGAUAGGAGGAGGAAACAAACCAACCCGAAAAAACAAACAAAAAGGAAUGAGAGAAAUGAUCGGAGCGAUUGAGGAAAGAAAGAGAAUGGCGACCCCUUUCCUUUCGCCCAAGGGGCAUCAUCGUCGGGGAUAGGCUUCAAGGGUUCUUCCAUAUCUAGAUAUAGAGAUAGAUGAUGAUAGAGAUCUAGAUCUUUCUAUAGAUAUAUCCUUUGAGCAAUUUCUAUUGAUCCGCUUUCAAGAUCUAUGAACAAGAGAGAUCCAAAAAAUCUCCAUGUAAAAAAGAGAGAUGAAUGAGAGAAAUGACCGGAACGAUUGAGGAAAGAAAGAGAAUGGCGACCCCUUUCCUUUCGCCCAGGGGGCAUCAUCGUCGGGGAUAGGCUUCGAGGGUUCUUCCAUAUCUAGAUAUAGAGAUAGAUGAUGAUAGAGAUCUAGAUCUUUCUAUAGAUAGAUCCUUUGAGCAAUUUCUAUGAUCCGCUUUCAAGAUCUAUGAACAAGAGAGAUCCAAAAAAUCUCCAUGUAAAAAAAGAGAUGAAUAGAUAGGGCUGAGCCGAUAGCAGGACUGGGUAAGGCCAAGUGUUCUUAAAACAAAACUCGAAGUGCACACUUCGGAGCGCGGUCUUCCGUCAGGUCCUUUAUGGAUGACGAAAGCCCCUUGGCUAUACUCUACUCUUAGCCUCCGGUUGUUCUGUCCUUUUCUUUUGGCUCGGCGGAGCUGAGCUGGGUUCCAUUACACUUUGUAGGAAAUGCAUAGACAGUCCACGCAGCAAACCGAGGCCCUGCGUGCGCCGUACGUACCGCCUACAAAUAAUAGGUAACCCCACCCAGGGCAGAGUUUGUGAGUCGUGUAAUAGGCGACCAUUUCGCGCGGUUCGGGGGGCACUUGAAUAAGCUGCCGGCACCCGGCUGUGUCUUUACCCCUAUCCAAUUUUGGGGCCAAUUCCCCCUUCGUACUACCAAAAAAUGAGAUUCUUGCCGAAUUCGAGUUUGCUGCCCCAACCAUUACAAAACUAAUGCAUAUAUGUUUAGUACUUCAGGUGCUUCUCUAGCGUAUAAUGUAAAUCUCAUAGCGGAUCAAUUCCAACAAGCCUUUCAAACUAGUACUUUUUGUAAUCGACUCUAUAGCUUCUUCAAUAAACGUUGGUUCUUCGAUCAAGUUUUGAAUGACUUUCUAGUCAGAUCGUUCCUGCAUUUCGGAUAUUCAAUCUCAUUCGAAGCUUUAGACAAGCGUGCUAUUGAGAUAUUGGGCCCUUAUGGUAUCUCGUACACAUUCCGACGAUUGGCCAAGCGAAUAAGUCAACUUCAAAGUGGAUCUGUUGUGCGAAGAGUGUGUUAUGAACCGUGGUCGCCUACCUGCUUUGGUUGGUGGGGGCGGCUCCUCCAUUGUGGGUAAAUAGGAAACCCGACUCUACGAACCCGAGGAAAGGCUGCUCAACUUCCGUAGGGGCGUUAAGACCGGAGCUUUUUGUAGUGCUAGCAUACCGUAUAUAUUAUGAACAGCCUGAAACUAAAUGAUAAAUGGCAAUGUUAAACUUUGCAACUUAUUUGACUCCAAAAAUGUAAAGUAACAAUUACCUCUAUUACGAGGUCAAAGUAUAUACAUUCGACCUUUGUUUAGUACUUCAUUUUUACUUACUUCACAUAUCAAAUUUGACCUGAGUCAAACUUAAUAAAGUUUGACCAAGAUUAUCGAAACCAAUCUAAAGUUUCACAAUAACAGGUAUAUAUGACGUGAAAAUAUAUUCAAUGGUAUUGGUUUAGAUUGUGAAUGUUAAUAAAUUUUGUUUAUGUAAACUUGGUCAAAGUUUACAAAGUUUGACUUGAGGCAAAGCUUGUGCCUCCUCCACCAUGCUCUACUCCGGCAAAGGCUAUGGUGAGGAAAUCUCCUCUAAGAAGUGUUAGAGUCAUCAACGUCAGCGCAGAAGCCUCGGAGUUCUCUUUUCUCAUGCCACUUUGCAAUUCUGAAAUCGAUGUGAUUCUAGGCAUGGUUUGGUUGCCAUCAGGCAAAACCGUCAGGCCAUUGUUCGUUUCCGUUCAUAUUCCUUGGCUUACUUGUUUGCUCUCAGUGCCUCUCCGUUGCUCGAAGAUGUCUCGUUGGUUUGUGUUUUCAUUUUCGUCGAUGUCUUUCCAAAGAAUUUAUUGGUGAUGUCUUUUUGUCUCACCAAUGUUUCUUCGUUAUUCUCCCGCUUAAUAAACUAUGUCUUCAUGGAUUCUCUUGAUGAGUUCAUGAUUAUCUACCUUGACGACAUCCUCAGAUUCUCACUCCUCCAGUUAAAUCAAAGCCUUUUCAGAUCUUCCAUGAUGCCUCUCUUUAAGGAUUUGUCAGUCUCCUCAUGUAAGAAUGUUAAAUUAUUGCUUUUAUCUCUCGUUGAUGGAGUCCUCCUAAGAAUAAUUACCCGAAGCGUGAUCUAGAACUAGAAAUUAUUGUCCAUACUCUCAUAUCUUGUCGGUAUCUGCUUGACUGGCGUUAUGAAAUCUUCAUUGGCAACAAGAGCCUCAAUAUAUCUUUUCUCAGUUUAAUCUCAAUCUUCGUCAAAUGCGUUGUAUGGAAACUAUCUCAAACUUUGAUCUUGGUAUCUUUCAUACUCCAUGCAAGGCAAAUGUCGUCAUUGAUGCUCUCAGCCGCAAAGCUUUUUGUAAUAAUCUCAUUCUUCAGUCGUCUCAUGCGUUGUAUGGUUCAUCUUAUCAUGAAUUCAAGAUGGGUUUAUAGUUGAGCUUCAUGCUAUUUUGGAUACUGCCUCUUACCCAUUUUAAUAUGUGGUGACUUUAAUCUGGUUAGACAAGACUCUGAUAAGAGUAGUGGUUUGAUUAACCCUCAAAUCACUUUUUUUAUUUAAUGAUAGGAUAAACAUAUGGGGGCUACUAGAGCUUCCUAUCUCUAAUAGAAACUUUACCUGGUCCAAUAAUCAAAUUGAUCAUAUUUUUGUUGUCAUUGAUAGAACUGGGAUGCACAUUUCCUCUUUCUUCACUUGUAAUUUUUUCAGGGGUGGGCAGUGAUCAUACUCCCCCGAUGUUGGAUACUGGGGCUAGAAAGCCCAAUAAUACUAAAAUGUUUAGGAUUGAGAAAUGAUGGUUAUCUCAAACUGGUUUUGUUCAAUUAGUUCAUGAUGUGUGGACUUCUGUCUCUGACGGUACCUCUUCUGUUGAUAAUUUGCAAUGCAAAACUAAUCUUCUUAGAAAGAAAAUUAAAGGUUGGAGUAUAAAUAUUGAGGCUGCCAUUAAGAAGAAAAAGAAGGCCCUCCUUAUGGAGUUUGAUAUGUUAGAUGUCGUCCUAUCUGAAUCUAGCCCACUUUCUACUACACACUAUGACAUAAUGAAAGAUAUUAUGACUGAAUUAAGUGAGAUUUGGAAAAAAGAGGAGUGCCUUAUGGCAGCGAUCCAAAGAUAGAAAAAUUCUUGAGGAAGAUCGUAAUAAUGCCUACUUCCAUUCUUUGGCUAAUCAUAGACACCGUAAAAACCAGCUCUCAGAAUUUAAUGGACCUCAUGGCCGUGUUACCUCUACUUAUGACAUGCUUAAUGUUGCAACUACUUUUCAUAAAGACCUUUUCUCUUUAGAACCAAACCCGAUAUCCAUCUGGAUUCAGCUUUCUGCAAUGACAAUGAUUUAGUGACUGUGGAAGACAAUGCCCUACUGGGAUAACCCUUUUUCGAGGAAGAACUACAAACUGCCAUUAUGAGUUCUUAUGCAAGUGGUGCUCCUGGACAUGAUGUCCUCUUUUUUUAUCAAACUUUCUGGCACUUGAUCAAAUAUUAUUUUAUGUGUUUGGUGAUGGAUUCUGAAGCUGGUACCUUAGAUUUUUAUUGUUUAAAUUUUGCUAUUACUUUAAUCCCUAAAGUUCCCAAUGCGAAAGAUAUGAAAAACUCCAGACCUAUUAGUCUAAGUAAGUGUGCAGUGAACAUUGUCUGUAAAGCUAUGAUGACUAGAGCCUCUCCUAUUUGUGAUAGGUUCAUAUUUCCUAACCAGAUUGCUUUUAUCAAUGGUAGAUUCAUUUUAGAAAGAGUGGUCAUGGCGCAUGAAGUGAUUCAUGAGAUUCACAUGACUGGCACCAAUGAGAUGGUCCUGAAACUAGACUAUCAGAAAGCCUAUGAUGAAGUGACUUGGGAUUUCCUUGUGGAAAUGCUCACUUCUAGAGGCUUUGCGCAAAAAUGAAUUAAUUGGAUUUGCAGUUCUCUGCAUCAAAGCUCAUUUGUGCUAGGAUUAAUGGCACCAAUGAACCCCACUUUGCAGGAGUGAAGGGGUUGAACAAGGUGACCCUCUUUCUCCAUUGCUUUUUAAUCUGAUGGAUGGUGUAUUUUCUAAAAUGCUUGCUAAAGUUGUGAAUCAAAAAUUGAUAGCUAGUCUUCUACCGCAUGUGGUCCCUGGUGGUGUUGUCAGCCUUCAAUAUGUUGAUGACACCAUCCUUUUCUUAGAGGCUUCUGUUGAAUAUGCUAGAAAUUUGAAAUGGAUCCUUGCUUGCUUUGAAAAACCUUCUGGAUUAAAGAUUAACAUCCAUAAGAGUGACCUCUACACCAUACAUGUGGAUGAAGAGAUGUCAAAAAUGCUUUGCUCAGAUUUUCCGUUGUCAAACAGGGGAUUCCCCCUUUAAUACCCUAGAGUCCCUCUUCAUUAUAAAAACUGAGGAGGGAAAAUCUCCAACCUAUUAUUGAUAGGAUUAUUAGAAACAUUGCUAGAUGGUUGGCUAGGAAUUUAUCCUACAGGGGCAAGUUAAUUUUCCUCACUACUUGUAUUGCUAGCAUCCCUACCAAUUUUGAUGUCUAUGAUGGAAUUUCUUAAAUGGCCAAUUGAUGCCAUCACCUCACAAAUGUCCCACUUCUUCUGAGGAAUUUAGGGAGGAACAUAAAUACCAUCUUGCAAAUUGAGGGCUUAUCUCUACAAGAAAAGAGAUUGGUGGGAUGGGUGUCCCCAAUCUGAGAGAUUUUAAUAUGGUCUUAGGCCAACUCCAACACAUGAUCCCAAAUGGUCUGGUUGCGCCUGUUUGGGGGUAAAUGUGUUGGAAAUAUGCCCUAGAGGCAAUAAUAAAUUGGUUAUUAUUAUAUUUCCUUGUUCAUGAUAAUCGUUUAUUAUCCAUGCAUGCUAGAAUUGUAUUGAUAGGAAACUCAGAUACAUGUGUGGAUACAUAGACAACAACAUGUCCCUAGUAAGCCUCUAGUUGACUAGCUCGUUGAUCAAUAGAUGGUUACGGUUUCCUGACCAUGGACAUUGGAUGUCGUUGAUAACCGGAUCACAUCAUUAGGAGAAUGAUGUGAUGGACAAGACCCAAUCCUAAGCCUAGCACAAAGAUCGUGUAGUUCGUAUGCUAAAGCUUUUCUAAUGUCAAGUGUCAUUUCCUUAGACCAUGAGAUUGUGCAACUCCCGGAUACCAUAGGAGUGCUUUGGGUGUGCCAAACGUCACAACGUAACUGGGUGGAUAUAAAGGUACACUAAAGGUAUCUUCGAAAGUGUCUGUUGGGUUGGCACGAAUCGAGACUGGGAUUUGUCACUCCGUGUAAACGAAGAGGUAUCUCUGGGCCCACUCGGUAGGACAUCAUCAUAAUGUGCACAAUGUGACCAAGGAGUUGAUCACGGGAUGAUGUGUUACAGAACGAGUAAAGAGACUUGCCAGUAACGAGAUUGAACAAGGUAUCGGGAUACCGACGAUCGAAUCUCGGGCAAGUAUCGUAUCGCUAGACAAAGGGAAUUGUAUACGGGAUUGAUUAAGUCCUUGACAUCGUGGUUCAUCCGAUGAGAUCAUCGUGGAACAUGUGGGAGCCAACAUGGGUAUCCAGAUCCCGCUGUUGGUUAUUGACCGGAGAGUUGUCUCAGUCAUGUCUGCAUGGUUCCCGAACCCGUAGGGUCUACACACUUAAGGUUCGAUGACGCUAGGGUUAUAGGGAAUAGAUAUACGUGGUUACCGAAUGUUGUUCGGAGUCCCGGAUGAGAUCCCGGACGUCACGAGGAGUUCCGGAAUGGUCCGGAGUUAAAGAUUUAUAUAAAGGAAGUCCUGUUUUGGUCGCCGGAAAAGUUUCGGGUUUUAUCGAUAAUGUACCGGGACCACCGGGAGGGUCCCGCUGGUCCACCAAGUGGGGCCACCAGCCCCGGAGGGCUGCAUGGGCCAAGUGUGGGAGGGGACCAGCCCCAGGUGGGAUGGUGCGCCCCCCCCCACCAGGGCCCAAGGCGAAGAGAGAAGGGAAAAGGGGGAAACCCUAGGCUCAGAUGGGCCUAAGGCCCACCUAGUGGUGCGCCCCCACUCUCUCCCCCUUGGCCGCCCCCUAGAUGGGAUCUAGGGCUGGCCGCCACCCCUAGGGGUGGAAACCUAGGUGGGGCCGCAGCCCCUCCCUUUCCCCUAUAUAUAGUGGGGGUUUUGGGCUGCCAGAAACACGAGAACAUCUCCUUCUUGGCGCAGUCCUACCCCUCUCCCUCCUCGUCUCUUGCGGUGCUUGGCGAAGCCCUGCUGGAGUACCACGCUCCUCCACCACCACCACGCCAUCGUGCUGCUACUGGAUGGAUUCUUCCCCAACCUCUCCUUCUCCCCUUGCUGGAUCAAGGCGUAGGAGACGUCACCGGGCUGUACGUGUGUUGAACACGGAGGUGCCGUCUAUUCGGCACUAGGAUCAUCGGUGAUUUGAAUCACGACGAGUACGACUCCAUCAACCCCGUUCACUUGAACACUUCCGCUUAGCGAUCUACAAGGGUAUGUAGAUGCACUCUCCUUCCCCUCGUUGCUAGAUUACUCCAUAGAUUGAUCUUGGUGAUGCGUAGAAUUUUUUUGAAUUUCUGCUAAGAACCCCAACAGUGGCAUCAUGAGCUAGGUCUAUGCGUAGUUUCUAUGCACGAGUAGAACACAAAGCAGUUGUUGGCGUCGAUAUUGUCAAUUUACUUGCCGUUACUAGUCUUAUCUUGAUUCGGCGGCAUCGUGGGAUGAAGCGGCCCGGACCGACCUUACACGUACUCUUACGUGAGACUGGUUCCACCGACUGACAUGCACUAGCUGCAUAAGGUGGCUAGCGGGUGUCUGUCUCUCCCACUUUAGUCGGAUCAGAUUCGAUGAAAAGGGUCCUUAUGAAGGGUAAAUAGAAAUUGGCAUAUCACGUUGUGGUUUUCACGUAGGUAAGAAACGUUCUUGCUAGAAACCUAUAGCAGCCACGUAAAAACUUGCAACAACAAUUAGAGGACGUCUAACUUGUUUUUGCAGCAUAUGCCUUGUGAUGUGAUAUGGCCAAAAGGAUGUGAAUAAUGAUAUAUGUGAUGUAUGAGAUUGAUCAUUUUCUUGUAAUAGGAAUCACGACUUGCAUGUCGAUGAGUAUGACAACCGGCAGGAGCCAUAGGAGUUGUCUUUAUUUAUUUAUGACCUGCGUGUCAACAUAAACGUCAUGUAAUUACUUUACUUUAUUGCUAAAGCGUUAGCCAUAGUAGUAGAAGUAAUAGAUGACGAGACAACUUCAAGAAGACACGAUGAUGGAGAUCAUGAUGAUGGAGAUCAUGGUGUCACGCCGGUGACAAUGAUGAUCAUGGAGCCCCGAAGAUGGAGAUCAUAAGGAGCAAAAUGAUAUUGGCCAUAUCAUGUCACUAUUUGAUUGCAUGUGAUGUUUAUCAUGUUUUACAUCUGAUUUGCUUAGAGCGACGGUAGCUUAAAUAAGAUGAUCCCUCACUAAAAUUUCAAGAAAAGUGUUCCCCCUAACUGUGCACCGUUGCGAAGGUUCGUUAUUUCGAAGCACCACGUGAUGAUCGGGUGUGAUAGAUUCUAACGUUCGAAUACAACGGGUGUAAGCCAGAUUUACACAGCAAAAACACUUAGGUUGACUUGACGAGCCUAGCAUGUACAGACAUGGCCUCGGAACACGGAAGACAGAAAGGUCAAGCAUGAGUCGUAUAGAAGAUACGAUCAACAUGAAGAUGUUCACGGAUGUUGACUAGUCCGUCUCACGUGAUGAUCGGACACGACCUAGUUGACUCGGAUCAUGUUUCACUUAGAUGACUAGAGGGAUGUCUAUCUGAGUGGGAGUUCAUUAAAUGAACUCAAUUAUGAUGAACAUAGUCUAAAUUGUCUUUGCAAAUAUGUUGUAGAUAAAUAGCUCACGUUGUAGCUCCCUGUUUCAAUACGUUCCUAGAGAAAGACCAAGUUGAAAGAUAUUGUAAGCAAUGAUGCGGACUAGGUCCGUAGUCCGAGGAGUGUCCUCACUGCUACACAGAAGGCUUACGUCUUUGAUGCACCGCUCGAUGUGCAAACCCCUACAACAUCGUCUGUGGAUGUUGUGAACACCUGACAGACACAUCCUGAUGACUACUUGAUAGUUUAGUACACCAUACUUUACGUCUUAGAAUCGGGAUUCCAAUGACGUUUUGAACGCCAGAGAACAUAUGAGAUGUUCCAAGAGUUGAAAUUGGGAUUUCAGGCUCAUGCCCGUGUUGAGAGGUGUGAGACCUCUGACAAGUUCUUUUGCCAACAAGAUGGAGGAGAAUAGCUCAGCUAGUGAGCAUGUGCUCAGAAUGUCUGGGUGCUACGAUCACUUAAAUCAAGUGGGAGUUAAACUUCCAGAUAAGAUAGUGAUUGAUAGAGUUCUCUAGCCACUAUCACUAAGCUACUAGAUCUUCGUGAUGAACUAUGACAUGCAAGGGAUGGAGUUGAUCCCGGAGCUGUUCGCGGUGCUUAAGACCGUAAAAGGUAGAAAUCAAGAAGGAGCAUCAAGUGUUGAUGGUUUAAUAAGACCACUGGUUUCAAGAAGGGCAAGGGCCAGAAGGGAAACUUCAUGGAUGGCAAACCAGUUGUCGCUCCAGUAAAGGAACCCAAGGUUGAACCCAAACCCGAGACUGAGUGCUUCUAUUGUAAAGGGGACGGUCACUGGUAGCAGAAUUACCCCAAAUGCAUGGUAGAUAAGAAGGCUGGCAACUUCAACAAAGUAUAUACGUGUUAUUAAUGUGUACCUCGCUAGUACUCCUGGUAGCACCUGGGUAUUGGAUACCGGUUCAGUUGCUAUUACUGGUGACUUGAAGCAAAAGCUACGGACUAAACGGAGACUGGCUAAGGGCGAGGUGACGAUGUGUGUUGGAAGUGUUUCCAAAGUUGAUGAGAUCACCAUCGCACCCUCCAUCUGCCUUCGGGAUUAGUAUUGAACCUAGAUAAAAUGUUAUCAAGUGUCUACGUUGAGCAUGAAUAUGAUUAGAUCAUGUUCAUUGCAAUACGGACAUUCAUUUAAGUUAGAGAAUAAUGGUUAUUCUGUUUUACAUGAAUGAUACCUUUCAUGGUCGUGCACCCUAUGUGAAUGGUUCAUUGAAUCUCGGUCGUGGUAAUACACAUGUUCACGCCAAAAGAUGUAGAGUUAAUAAUGAUAGUACCACUUUCUCGUGGCACUACCGCUUAAGUCAUAUUGGCGUAAGAUGCAUGAAGAAACUCCAUGUCGAUGGAUGUUUGGAGUCACUUGAUUUGGAAUCGCUUGACACAUGCGAGCCAUGCCUCAUGGGCAGGAUGACUAAGACCCCGCUUUCAGGUACAAUGAAAUGGGCAAGUGACUUGUUGGAAAUCAUACAUGCUGAUGCGUGUGAUCCAAUGAGAAUUGAAGCGUGCAGUGGAUAUCGCUAUUUUCUCAUCUUCACUGACGAUUUGAGUAGAUAUAGGUAUAUUUACUUAAUGAAGCACAAGUCUGAAACGUUUGAAAAGUUCACGCGAUUUCAGAGUGAAGUUAAGAAUCAUCAUAACAAAGAAGAUCAUGUUCCUACGAUCUGAUCAAAAGGGGAUUUUCUGAGUUAUGAGUUUGGCAAUCACUUAAGACAUUGUGGAAUUGUUUCACAGUUGAAGCCACCUGGAACACCACAAGGUAAUGGUGUGUCCGGACGUCGUAAUCGAACCCUAUGAGAUAUGGUGCGAUCUAUGAUGUCUCUUACCAAUCUACCAUUUUCAUUUUUGAGGUAAUGCGUUAGAUACAACUGCAUUCACUUUAGAUAGGGCACCAUCUAAGUCCGUUGAGACGACGAAUGAACAUUGGUUUGGCAAGAAACCAAAGUCGUCGUUUCUUAAUGUUUGGGGCUGCGAUGCUUAAGGCUUUAGCAGGAGAAGCUCGAACCCAAAAGCGGACAAACACAUCUUCAUAGGAUACACAAAGGUGACAGUUGGGUAUACCUUCUAUCUCAGAUCCGAGGGCAAAUUGUUUGUCGCUAAGAACGGGUCCUUUCUCGAGAAGGAGUUUCUCUCGAAAGAAUUGAGUGGGAGGAAGAUAGAACUUGAUGAGGUUGUCAAACCUUUACUUCAACCAGAGAGUGAUGCAACACAGAAAGAUGUUUUCUACGGCGCCUACGUCUGUUGAAUAGGAAGUUAAUGAUAGUGAUCAUGAAGCUUCAGAUCAAGUUGCUAUCGAACAUCGUAGGUCGACAAGGAUAUGUACUACUCCUGAGUGGUACGGUAAUCAUGUCUUAGAUAUCAUGUUAUUAGACAACAAUGAACCUACGAGCUAUGGAGAAGCGAUGGUGGGCCCGUAUUCUGACAAAUGGUUAGAAGCCAUGAAAUCCGAGAUAGGAUCCAUGUAUGGACUAUGGUGGACUUGCCCGAUGAUCGGCAAGCUAUUGAGAUAAAUGGAUCUUUAAGAAGAAGACGGACGUGGGCGGUAAUGUUACCGUCUAUGAAGCCCGACUUGUGGGAAAGAGUCUUUUCACAAGUUCAAGGAGUUGACUACGAUGAGAAUUUCUCACCCGUAGCGAUGCUUAAGUCCGUCGGAAUCAUGUUAGCAUUAGCUGUAUUUUUCGAUUAUGAAAUCUUACAGAUGGAUGUCAAAACAAGUUUUCUUACCAAGUUUUCGUAAGAAAAGUUGUAUGUGAUACAAUAAAAGUUUUUGACGAUCCUAAGGAUGCUAAAAGGUAUGCUGGCUCCAGCAAUCCUUCUAUGGACUAAAGCAAGCAUCUCGGAGUCGGAAUAUAUGCUUUGAUGGAGUAAUCAAAGCUUUUAGGUUUAUACAAUGUUUGUUAGAAACUUGUAUUUACAAGAAAGUGAGUGGGGGCACUACAACAUUUCUGAUAAGUAUAUGUGGAUGACAUAUUGUUGAUCUGAAAUAAUGUAGAAUUUCUGGAAAGCAUAAAUGGUUAUUUAAAGAGUGUUUUUCAAAGGAAAACCUGGAUAAAGCUGCUUACAUAUUGGGCAUCAAGAUCUAUAGAGAUAGAUCAAGACGCCUGAUGGUACUUUCAAAGAACGCACACCUUGACAUGUUUUUGAAGGAGUUCAAAAUAGAUCAGUCAAAGAAGGGUUCUUACCUGAGUUGUAAGGUGUGAAGUUGAGUAAGACUCAAAGAUUGACCACGGCAGAAGAAAGAGGAAGGACGAAGAUCGUCCCCUAUGCUCUUGUCAUAGGCUCUAUACGGUAUGCCAUGCUGAGUACCGCACCUGAUGUGUGACUUGCCACAUGUCUGGCAAGAGGGUAUAAAGGUGAUCUAGGAGUAGAUCACCAGAUAGCGGUCAAAAUUAUCCUUAGAGGAAUAAGGAAAUGUUUCUCGGUUAUGGAGGUGAUAAAGAGUUCGACGUAAAGAGUUACGUCGAUGCAAGCUUAACACCUAUCCGGAUAGCUCUAAGUAGAGAUACCGGAUACGUAUAAUGGAGCAACAAUUUGGAAUAGCUCCAAGUGGAACGUGGUAGCAGCAUCUACGAUAUAAAGUUUUGCGAAAUACAUAAGGAUCUGAAUAUGGCAAGACCCGUUGACUACAACCUCUCUCACAAGCAUAACAUGAUCAAACCCAGAACUCUUUGAGUGUUUAUCACAUAGUGAUGUGAACUAGAUCAUUGAGUCUAGUAGACUCUUGGAUGUUGGUCACAUGGCGAUGUGACCUGUGAGUGUUAAUCACAUGGCGAUGUGAACUAAAUUAUUGACUCUAGUGCAAGUAGGAGACUGUUGGAAAUAUGCCCUAGAGGCAAUAAUAAAUUGGUUAUUAUUAUAUUUCCUUGUUCAUGAUAAUCGUUUAUUAUCCAUGCAUGCUAGAAUUGUAUUGAUAGGAAACUCAGAUACAUGUGUGGAUACAUAGACAACAACAUGUCCCUAGUAAGCCUCUAGUUGACUAGCUCGUUGAUCAAUAGAUGGUUAUGGUUUCCUGACCAUGGACAUUGGAUGUCGUUGAUAACCGGAUCACAUCAUUAGGAGAAUGAUGUGAUGGACAAGACCCAAUCCUAAGCCUAGCACAAAGAUCGUGUAGUUCGUAUGCUAAAGCUUUUCUAAUGUCAAGUGUCAUUUCCUUAGACCAUGAGAUUGUGCAACUCCCGGAUACCAUAGGAGUGCUUUGGGUGUGCCAAACGUCACAACGUAACUGGGUGGAUAUAAAGGUACACUAAAGGUAUCUUCGAAAGUGUCUGUUGGGUUGGCACGAAUCGAGACUGGGAUUUGUCACUCCGUGUAAACGAAGAGGUAUCUCUGGGCCCACUCGGUAGGACAUCAUCAUAAUGUGCACAAUGUGACCAAGGAGUUGAUCACGGGAUGAUGUGUUACAGAACGAGUAAAGAGACUUGCCAGUAACGAGAUUGAACAAGGUAUCGGGAUACCGACGAUCGAAUCUCGGGCAAGUAUCGUAUCGCUAGACAAAGGGAAUUGUAUACGGGAUUGAUUAAGUCCUUGACAUCGUGGUUCAUCCGAUGAGAUCAUCGUGGAACAUGUGGGAGCCAACAUGGGUAUCCAGAUCCCGCUGUUGGUUAUUGACCGGAGAGUUGUCUCAGUCAUGUCUGCAUGGUUCCCGAACCCGUAGGGUCUACACACUUAAGGUUCGAUGACGCUAGGGUUAUAGGGAAUAGAUAUACGUGGUUACCGAAUGUUGUUCGGAGUCCCGGAUGAGAUCCCGGACGUCACGAGGAGUUCCGGAAUGGUCCGGAGGUAAAGAUUUAUAUAUGGGAAGUCAUGUUUUGGUCGCCGGAAAAGUUUCGGGUUUUAUCGAUAAUGUACCGGGACCACCGGGAGGGUCCCGGUGGUCCACCAAGUGGGGCCACCAGCCCCGGAGGGCUGCAUGGGCCAAGUGUGGGAGGGGACCAGCCCCAGGUGGGAUGGUGCGCCCCCCCCCCCACCAGGGCCCAAGGCAAAGAGAGAAGGGAAAAGGGGGAAACCCUAGGCUCAGAUGGGCCUAAGGCCCACCUAGUGGUGCGCCCCCACUCUCUCCCCCUUGGCCGCCCCCUAGAUGGGAUCUAGGGCUGGCCGCCACCCCUAGGGGUGGAAACCUAGGUGGGGGCGCAGCCCCUCCCUUUCCCCCAUAUAUAGUGGGGGUUUUGGGCUGCCAGAAACACGAGAACAUCUCCUUCUUGGCGCAGCCCUACCCCUCUCCCUCCUCGUCUCUUGCGGUGCUUGGCGAAGCCCUGCUGGAGUACCACGCUCCUCCACCACCACCACGCCGUCGUGCUGCUGCUGGAUGGAGUCUUCCCCAACCUCUCCUUCUCCCCUUGCUGGAUCAAGGCGUAGGAGACGCCACCGGGCUGUAUGUGUGUUGAACACGGAGGUGCCGUCCGUUCGGCACUAGGAUCAUCGGUGAUUUGGAUCACGACGAGUACGACUCCAUCAACCCCAUUCACUUGAACGCUUUCGCUUAGCGAUCUACAAGGGUAUGUAGAUGCACUCUCCUUCCCCUCGUUGCUAGAUUACUCCAUAGAUUGAUCUUGGUGAUGCGUAGAAAUUUUUUGAAUUUCUGCUAAGAACCCCAACAAAAUAAACACGAAUCGUGGCCCAACGCGCAGAAGCAAAUGGACAAACAUUCGUUUUGCGUCCGCCGUCGAUGUAUUUCCGGCCCAAAUUUGGGCCGCGUUCGGGUCAAAAUGGACAGCGAGCGGAUGGGCGGGACGCGCACCCUUGUCCUCUCCUAGUCCGCACACAGAGGACACAACACGCCCACUUUCCCUCUCAUUCCCAAAAGCCAUCCCGUGCUCCCCUCCCUUCCCUCCUCCAUGGCUGGCGCGUCGAAGAAAUCCGCAGCCGGCGACCCGGCCGCUACUACCGUUCGUCCCGCGACAAAGAGGAAGAAGAAUCCGCGACCAGAGCUCACGCCGACAGAGGUCCCACGGCUCGACAUUGAAUCAGCCAAGAGGAGGGCCUGACAGACCGUUCUAGAAGAAAAGAAAAGCCGCUGCCGCCGAGACUGCGGCCGCACACCACAAGGCCGCCAUUGACCACAAUGAGGCCAUCGUCGCCAAGGCCAGGCAGGCAGCGACGACAUAGGCCCACGUCAUGCUAGGGUUGUGCCGACCCGGCCGACCAUUCUCUCCACCGCCGCCAUGGCCGCGGCAAGCACAGACUCGCCGGGCGUUCACCCUCCGCAGUACCAGUCGUCGAGCUCCUCCAUAACACCGGAGACGCUUGGUUUUCAUUCACUGCGCAACAUGCUCAGACCUGGUUCUCCACGUCGCCAAACGGGUAGUGUGAUCGCGCCGACCACCCCCGACGCCACGUCUGUCAUCGACCUCAACGUCACGCCUAGCUAUAGUGGUGCUGGCCAGUCGCUCAACGAGAUGCAAAGCAAGCAGCCCUGGUCGAUUCCUACGGCCAACCUUCUCGGCGCCCACAACCUGUUUAACGAAAUGCCAAUCCCAACGCCGGCGCCCGAUGAUCCUAACUACAUUGAUGCGUCCGUGUGUUGGGUGCACGGCCAGUGCAUCCAGAAAAAUGGCCGGACGCCGCCACAUAGCCAUACCAAACGGACAAAAUCUGAACAAAACGGACGUCCUUUUUGGUCGUGCGUUGGAGUUGGCCUUGUUUGCUUCGUGGAGCAAAAGGUUCUUUGAUGAGAGGGAAAGUGAUCGGAAGAAACGUGUACGUUUUAAUUUCUUUAUUAGUGGUUCCGAUGUUUUAAAUAUGUUGUUAACAAACCUAGUUUACUUUGGGCCAAACCUGGUUCUCCAUUCUGGAAAAGAAUUGUAAUCUGUGUGCGACAGUUUUCUACAAAUGGGUCCCUGGAAUGGGGAUAAUGUGGCCUAUCUUCUUGCUCUGUAUCUGUGUGCCAGAGUGCCAGACGAGAGAGAGAGAGAGAGAGAGAGACGGAGAGACAUCGGCCGAGAAGGUUCCGGAAGGAUGCCUCGCGCGGGGUUGUCGGCGGGGUCGAGCAAGGUGGACGUGGCCAUCGACCUCGGGAACCCGCUCCUCAACCGCACCGUCGACGGCUUCCUCAAGAUCGGCGCCGUACGCACCCCCUUCCUCCCUCCUCUUUCAUCCAAUGUCUGUAUCUUGCAAUGUGUCUGAUCCGUCGAUUGGAUAAUGUGCGCAGGUCGGCGCCUUCAGGGUGGCCGCCGAGGACGCCUUCGACUGCCUCCAAAGUGGUAACCACGCAUCCCAUCUCUGAUUUCUUCCGCCCCGCAGAUUCGUCCGGUUUCUUUCCUUCUGCGCUCAGGAAAUCGCCUCUUGGGCGACGGUGUAGGGUAACUGAUAGAUCCAUUCCCAGAGAAAAUUAAGGAUUUUUCCUUCUUUUCUGAAUGAUGAAGGUAGAAACGCCCAGAUUUUAGUUUGAACCAAAUGUUUUUCACAGCAUAUAGUGGGACAUACAUCAGUUUUUGUUGGUGCUGUGCAGACAAGAGAGAAGUGCAUAUUUCAACCCUGAACUCUUGCCCUAGUCUAAUUUACAACCCUGAACUUUAAUACCGUCUAAAUUACAACCCCCAAGUCUCAAAACCGGUCAGGAUUCAACCCUCCCUUUCCUGUUGACCGGUUUUAACCUGGGGUGACCAGUUUUGACUAGUCAACGGGUCCAAUCAGCAUGCCACGUCAGAUUUUUUUUCAAAAUUUCAAGAAAAAGUAAAUAAAAAUCUAUAAGAUCAGGGAAAAAAUAUAAAAAGGCAAAAUUCCGAAAAAAUUGUUCGCGAAAAAGCUAGGGAAAAUAAAAAAUGAUUUUUUUCCGGAAUUUGAGUUUUUGGGCUUUUUUUGGAAAUUCGUUUUUUUAUUUUUCGUGUUUUUCGGAAAUUGAAUUUCUUAUUUCUUUUCCUGGAUUUUCUUCGAUUUUACAGGUUGUUUCCUUGGAAAUUUUGCAUUUUUUCUGAUGUGGCAUGCUGACUAGACCUGUUGACUGGUCAAAACUGGUCAACAGAGAGGGGAGGGUUGAAUCCUGGCCAGUUUUGAGAGUUCGGGGUUGUAAUUUAGAUGGUAUUGAAGUUCGGGGUUGUAAAUUAGACCAGGGCAAAAGUUAGGAGUUGAAAUAUGCACUUCUCUCUGCAGACAAAUGUGACACCAAAUUAUCUUCUUUUGCUUUGCAGGGAGUGUCUCGAAGCGCAAGCUUGAGAAGACAGUAAGUGCUGAUUUCCACUGCGUUUGUUUUUCUCGCACUUAAUUGUCCCGAGUCUUGCCACUAUCUGAAUGGCAAAACAACUAGAGAUGUCAGUACGUGUUACACUAGUAUAUAUAAUAGUAGUGGCCUGAUAGGCAGAUGAUAUAUUCUAUGGUGGAGCUGACGAAAUGUUCAACAGUUCAGACUGGUUCAAUAGGGGUGCCUUGAACAUACCCUCGUAGGAUAGAUAAAUGGAGAAAAAACAGCUGAAUUAGAAGUCUAAGGCCUUGAACCACUACUUAUGCAUAAUUGCUCUCUACUUGUGGAUUAGUGAAACGUCAGUGGCCUUGUUUCUGCACAUGCGUUAAGUUAACUAUCUAUCUAUCAUCUACAGUGUACUAAUAUGGUAUUCUGGUCGUUUAUGCAGCUGGAAAAAAUGUGCAAGGAGGGCGCAUAUUGGGGUAACUAAGUAGAAGAGUAUUACUCCGUUGUUUUAUUUGGCUCAAAUGAAUGCAUUGACAUCAAUCGCUCAUCCGUUCUUCUUAUGUCCGCUGACAAAUUUGGAUGCUUCUUCUAUUAAUCUGCAGGUGCUGUUGCUGGAGUGUAUGUAGGCAUGGAGUAUGGAGUGGAAAGGGUCCGCGGAGAGUAUGACUGGGUAAUGAUUCUCUGAAAGUGGAUCUUUCAUGUUUCUUGCACUUAACUGAACCUAAGGUGGAGGAAAAUCUAUCUACAUGACUGCCUCUGCUCAUUUUACAAUGUAUAUCCUUUCUUUAGUUGACUAAGAUUCUUGGCUAAUUAGUGUACGAGAAGAACCAGUCAGAUUCCUGGCAUCUUAUAAAUCAUGAUGCUAGUUUUUACUUCUGUCUCCACACUCUGUCGUAAGAUUAUGUAACUCUAAUACUGUGCUAGCAGGUUAGAUAUCACACCCUGUCGUAAGCAAUAUUAUUGUUGGCAUGUUUUGAUCCAGUCUUAAGAAUAUUUAUUAAUCCCUCUCUUUUCCGGUACUCCUGUAGAAAAAAGCGUUGGUCGGAGGCUACUCGAUACUAUCUGCUCACAAACAAUAUUAUCUGCCCACAUGAUAUCUAGAUCCUUAUCUUUAGUUGACUAAGAUCCUAAUUUUCAGUCAGUCUUGAUAAUAUUAUUAAUCUCUCUCUUUUUGGUACUCCUGCAGAAAAAUGCAUUGAUUGGAGGCAUUGCAAGUGGCGCCCUGAUCUCUGCUGCUAGCAACAACAAAGGGAACAAGAUCGCCAAGGAUGCCAUCACCGGAGGUGCCAUCGCGACCGCCAUUGAGUUCAUCAACUACCUCACCUAGCUGUGUGACCAUAUGCAUGUCAAUGUUUUUUUUUAUCAGCAAGACGAAUAAGAACUUCUUGACUGAAGCCAUCCCCCCCUCUGUG
rnacentral:lncRNA from 1 species